rnacentral:lncRNA from 1 species
CUCUUGGAUAUUCUAGGACUGCCAGGUUUUCUGUUUGAACAACAAAGCCAUUAUUUCUAUGGGACACUUAGAUAUUAAAACUAGGUAGCGGUCACAUGGUUAAAAUCCCACACAGAAAGAAAAACUAUAUUCAAAAGAGGAUGUGACUAGGGCAUUGUCAAAAUUCUUACUUAACUCUUCUGAAGGUAAUGUCAUGUUUAAGUUUAGUUAAAAUGUAUUGAAAAGUCUUAUAAC